AAGGAACUGGCAACGAAGGCGACGACGCGCAGACACUCGCACUCACGGAUACAGCAACAGGCCCCCUCGAUCGACCUUGUUUUUUUUUUUGAAAGUACACAGCAGCGGUUGUAGCGGUGGUGGUAAUUGUGGUGCAUCACCGCGCACACACCAGACAUCCACACAUACACCCGCGCAUACCUACGCGUGUCCCCCAGCGCCGAAAGAGGAGGACGAGCAUACGACAAGGGGUUUCUUGUGGGUGAGAAAGCGGAGACACGCAUAUCCAAGAUAUUGCGUCUGCCCGCCUCCCCCUCAUCCUCUGGAAAGAACAAAACAAAGGGAGAAGAGCAUCGCAAAAAAAAAAAAAGAGGCAGCCGUGAAAGAAGGCGGUAGCGAGCCCGAAGGUUUCGGGAACGUUUGACCCGCCGCAUCCUCCUCCUUCCCUGACCUCGAUCUUUCUCUGUGCGUAGGCGUUAACAGUUUUGUGGCGCUGUCUGUGCGCGUGUAGCCAUCAUUCGUUCAGCCAGUCUGCGCUAGAGCAGUGACGACUUGCCAUCGCAAAGGCAAUCGAUAAGUGGAGAUUUUCAACGCGCAGAAGAGCGUGGGUGAAGACGGCAGCCGCCACAGCAACACAAACUUGAAGUCAUUGACCAACGACGAGGCCGCGUGACAACAAAAAGAAGGGUGUGGCGAUCGUGCGCCGCCAAUAACGCGUCUGCACGCACAAGUACGCACACGCUGAUACACGGACACCUUCUUGUUUUCCUUUGUUUUCCAUCCUUUUUUGUUGGGUAGGGGAGGUGAGGUUGCCGACCUUCUGGCGUCCCGCAAAACACCUCAGAUGGAGCGAGACGUGCACUGAGACGCAGACCGAGAGAGAUCCACGUAUACGCUGCACGCACAGCCUUUGCGUGUGUCUGUGAACUCGUACACACAUACACAACCUCCUAUUCUUGUCUUUGCUUGUUUGCUCUGGUACUUCCCCCUCUCUCACUCUUCGAAAUAUUCGUUCUCUUCCCUGUGUUCUUGUGUUUAUGUUGGGCGCACGCAUACAUGAAUGUGUGAGUGCGUACAGAAAGAGAGUACAUACAUAUACACAUGCAUGCACGUCUGUCUGUGAAUACUGGGGUUCUCGCUUCUCUCCAUCGUACCUUUGUCCUUUUUUGUUAUUUUUUCAUUCUCGUUCUCGUCGUUAUUUUCUUCGCGUAGAUCCCAUUCGGUAUCCCCCGAGAGACCUCUCGCGCUCUCCUUCCUGUGUUCUGAGCUGCCCCUGUCUCUCUCUCUUUCCUCAUCCUUUGCGUGCGUGUAUGUGUGCGCGCGUUUCCCCCCCCCCCAUCCCCCUCGUACAUUGGUGCUCUUCAUUUCGUUAUCUGUGUUUUAUGGUUUCUUUGCCUUCUCCACCCCCUCCCCCAUCUGCCAUUACGCGUGCCUCCCUUUCCUGUGCGUGCGUACAGUGCGUUCUUGGUUGUGGUUACGCCUUGCUCUUCGUUUACCGACUUGCUCCCGCUCGCUCUCUUUUCUUUGCUGUUCGCCGUUGCGGCAAGGGUGUGUCCCGUGCGUGUGCGUGUGCAGUGGUGUGCGUGAUGGGUCUGCACCGCUCUUGAUACCCAAGCACCUCUUUGCGCGUCACCCUAUACUGCCCUUUUCUGCCUUUUCUGCCUUCGCUUCUUACCCGUGCGCGUGGCCGUUUGCUGUUGUUGUCUCUAUUCUUCGACACGCACCACCUUCCCCCAGUCUCAUUACCCCCGCCCCGUCUUCCCAUCUCAUCCUUCUCCUUCCUCCUCUACGCACCCCCAACGUCCUUACUUCUUUGGCCAUCCUUUCUCUCUGUUUUCAUCUUUUCCAUCAGUACACUUCCCACACCACCACAACCACCACCCGUCCCGCCUGCCUGCCUCGCCGUCCCUCUCGCUAGCGCCUCCCUAGCCCACCCACACCAUCCAUCCUCUCCCCUCUGUCUUCCUCCUCCUACUCCUCUCGACUUCUUUUUCGUGUUUGAUCUCUUCCUUGCGCGUUUGCGUUUCUCUACGAUUCGCGCCUCCCUUCCUCCUCUCCUCCACAGCCCCCCCCCGUGGCACCUUGCCUCUCCUCGUUUUGUGGUUCGCCGCUGCGUCGUCGAUUGCGUCACGCUACGCAUCCCUCUCUCUUCUUUCGUAUUCGUUCUCCGCCAUCAUCAUCGGCGCAACGAAAUCGUUUCGAGCUGUGUGCACGUGUGUGUGUGUGUGUGUGUGUGUCACAUCCAGUGUUUCUCUUGUCGUUCCUUUUCCUUCGUGGGUUUGUUUUCUGCUUCUCCUCCGUCCUGCCUUUGUCUGCGUAGCCGCCAUCCCUCGCACAGGAGGUGAUCAGCCCAUCCUUUGCCGUUGUCUGCCUGUGUGUGUGCAUGUGCGUGUGCUCCCUUUCUUUCCCUGUGUCUUUCUCUCAUCGCCACAGAGAGAGAGACAAGAAGGUCGAGGACGGGGCGUUGGUCCGGCAGCUUGAGGUACAAAGAAGGCGGGAAAGCACGGCUCCAAGGACGUUGUGCAACGCAGGCGAUGAUGUCCUUUCCUCGCGAUGACUGCGGCAGCAGCAGCAGCAGCAGUAGCAUGCCGGCCGCCCCGCCCCAGCAGCGACAGCAUCACCUGCUGCAACAGCAACCGCACCCUGCACAGAUGCCGACGGCGCCGUCGCAAGAGCAUGUGCAGUACUCCAUCUCUCCCGGGCCAUACAACUCCUCUACCGCAGCCACCAUCCUUACUGCUGAUCAGCACCAGCAAUGUGACCUCCAGCAGCGUCUGCUUCAGCAUAAGCCGCCCGCCGUGAACAUGUACACCCCCACCUCGGCGAGCCUUGUGGAUGUGGGUGGCCCUCUCGGUGCGCAGUCCGCCAUGGCAUCCAUGCAACAGCAACAGCACCACCAUGUCGUUCCUUCCCUGUCAAAGCAUUCGUCCUUGUCGGAGCUGAACAACCCGAACGCAAUACAGCUGCACGGACUUCUCCCCGAAACUAGCGCCGCCGCCAGCGUACCUGGUCUCUUCCUGACGGCGCCGACUUCUUCGUCGCCUGCGCACCGUCGACCCAGUGUGCUGAACAGUAACGACAACAGCGGUCCCAGCACCAGCAGCCCCCUCCCCCUGGCCCAGCGACUGCAGCCUGUUUUUGUGGACACGACGUCGUCGGCGUCGAUCUUGUCCUCCUCCUCUCCAGAUCCGCAGCAACUGCACAGAACGGCGGCCAUCACGCCCUUCACCACGUGUCCCCCUCUGGCACACAGAGCGCCGCCUCCGGUAGCCGCCUAUCCCGCCUCUCCACACUCGCCAGCUGGCUACGGUAGCGGCGGCAUCCCCUCACCCCUCCAACAGCACCAGCACCAGCAACUGCACUUUCUCUCUGUUGGGGCUAACGCUGCAGCACCAGAAGGCCUGGUGCACUUCGCCGCCUCCACCGCUCCCCCGUCGCUUCCCUCGCCGGGAGCAGUCGCGACACCGACCACGGCAACAGCGACGAGUCUCAGUGUGCUGGCGGGCCUUGACGACCUACAGCAGGCACAUGAGCGACCCUUUCGUUUCAAAGUGCUGCCGCCGCCGCCGACGUUUGACGGGUUCCUCAUGCUGUGGGAGACGAACGCGUCUGAUCGGCGCUCUUCUGGAGCCACGACGAUGGGCGAGGACACGAGCAGCAACAGCAUCACGCAGCAGCAGCAGAGGAUCGCCCAUGGAGGCGGCCACAGCCGUGGCGGAGCUGCUCCAGCGAUGGAGCGAGGCGACGUGGAGGCGGUGCUGCGAGCGUCUACCAGUGAGCGUGCCGAACCCCGUCGGUCUGCCAGCGAUUUCGGCGCCUUGAGUGCUGCCGAAGACGACGGGGCCUUGCACGGCGCGGCGCCGUGCAAGGCAGCUGCAGCAGUCGAUGUGCACGAUAAAACCCGCAUCAGCGGCGAGUCCGGCCAAAGCACACCAGAGCGGCGUGCCAUGGUCGCCCAGUACCGCCAAAUCCUCGAGCGAUGGUGGGCGUACAUGGUGAUUUUCGCGAGUAAGCCGGAAGUACGGCAACGGCUGGGCAACAUGCGUCUGUGUCCGUCUUUCGCAGAUGCACAUCAGGCGGCAGCAGCAGCCUCACCGGUCGGAAGUGGGAGUGGGGUGCUUGAUGGUGUGCCGACGGACGCUUGGCAAACUAAUGUGCUCACCGCACCCGCGGCGUCAGCGGGCCCGUUUAUAGCAGAGGAAGUUGUCCUGCAGGCCUGGUCGACGCUACUGCUACAGUGGUGGGAAGAAACGAAGCAGCGCCGUCUUCCUCGGCGGAGUCGUCACGGGGCACCGCGCCGAGGAGCACCCCCAACUCGAAUGGACGACGACGGAGUGGACAGCACCAGAAGCGGCAACGAGAGGUGCGACGCCGCGCCAUCGGAAAGUGUGCACUCCUACGAACUGCCGAGCGCCGAGGAAGGGCGCCUCACCCGAUCGCUGCCGCCGCCUGACCACGACGUCCUCCUGCACUUUGACUUCACGAUCCCGUCUGCGUCAAGCAGCCAAGCGGACAGCUUGCAGUUGUGAGCGGAGGGCAGGUGCGAGAAGACAAGACGUUGCUGCCGCCUUGUGCCCUUCGGGAGUAAUGCUUUCGCACUCACAGCGUCAUUGUGUUCCAACCCGUUGCGCAACUUAUCGCCGUCGCAUCUGUGCGUGUGUGCAUCCGAGUGUGCAUGGGUGAGCAUCUGGUGCCCAGCCACUCGGCAAGCGUACUGCGCCCUUCCUGUAGCACAGCACACCGCUGCUGUCUUUUUAAUGCCUGUUUGUUCGCCAGCCGCACUGCCGCCCAACCCAAAUCAAGCGUGGAGCUGCCCUACCACAGCAAGCGCCGCCAUGCGCCGCGGUUGAGCGGACCAGGUGUCCCUCAGUCAACCAUAAAACGCCACCCCAGCGGCGGCCACGUGCGUCUUUUGAG
rnacentral:misc_RNA from 1 species